rfam:Homo sapiens chromosome 17, GRCh38 reference primary assembly.
GCCAGGCAUGGUGGCUCAUGCCUGUAAUCCCAGCACUUUAGGAGGCCGAGGUGGGUGGAUCACUUGAGGCCAGGAGUUCAAGACCAGCCUGGCCAACAUGGUGAAACCCCAUCUCUA